AUAGUACGCUAGUGGAUGCCCGGCUCUGCCUGGUGCGGCCAAGAUACAUUUGGGCUUAAACUGAAUAUGGGUUCGGUCGUCGGCCCACCUAGUUCCUUAUCCGUCGUCUCCUACGCCUCCAUCCACACUCCACAGCCACGCCACAGUCGUUGCCCACCACCCAGAGCACGCGGCGGCUUGUCGCCGUGCGCGCCGCCACCAUCACCACACGAGGCGCCGGAGAAAGACAUCAAGCGCACGCCCAUGGCCAUGACUCCUCACGCCUCGGCGGCCACCGUAGCCGUUACCCCUGCGUUGCGCUUUCCCCACACUUUGUCUGCCACGGGCCUCUCCUCACCGCCUCUGGCUGGGGGCUGCGGCGGCUGCCGGGUUCGGUUCCGGCCCAGCCAGCGCGGCCGAGGCACGCAGGGGCGGCGAGGUGGCUCUCACGUGUCGCGCGUGGGGGGCCUGCUGGGCACCGUAUUCGGCGGGGGCGGCCGCGACGACGGGGAGGCCACGCGGAAGAAGUACGCAGACACCGUGGCGCGUAUCAACUCCAUGGAGCUCGAGGUCUCCGCGCUCUCAGACGCUGAUUUGCGUGCACGCACCGCUGCGCUCCAGGACCGUGCUCGCUCCGGGGAAUCCCUGGAUUCCCUUCUCCCCGAAGCAUUUGCUGUUGUGAGGGAGGCUUCCAAGAGAGUUCUAGGCCUCCGGCCCUUUGAUGUGCAGUUGAUUGGUGGUAUGGUUCUGCACAAGGGGGAGAUUGCUGAAAUGAAGACCGGAGAGGGGAAGACUCUUGUGGCCAUUCUGCCAGCAUACUUAAAUGCUUUGAGUGGGAAAGGAGUGCAUGUUGUCACUGUAAAUGAUUAUCUCGCAAGACGUGAUUGUGAGUGGGUUGGUCAAGUCCCCCGAUUUCUAGGACUGCAGGUUGGCUUAAUUCAACAGAACAUGACACCUGAGCAAAGGAGGGAAAAUUACUCAUAUGAUAUUACUUAUGUCACAAACAGUGAGCUUGGUUUUGAUUAUCUAAGAGAUAACCUUGCAAUGACUGUAGAUGAACUUGUCUUGAGGAACUUCAAUUACUGUGUGAUAGAUGAAGUUGAUUCAAUCCUUAUUGAUGAAGCAAGAACACCUCUUAUAAUAUCAGGCCUAGCUGAAAAGCCAAGUGAUCGGUAUUACAAAGCAGCAAAAAUAGCUGAAGCUUUUGAGCGAGACAUUCAUUACACGGUGGAUGAAAAGCAGAGAAACGUUUUACUUACAGAAGAAGGUUAUGCUGAUGCUGAAGAAAUACUGGACAUAGAUGAUCUGUACGAUCCUCGUGAACAGUGGGCUUCGUAUAUUCUAAAUGCAAUCAAGGCUAAGGAGCUCUUCCUUAAAGAUGUCAAUUACAUUGUUCGUAGCAAGGAAGUGCUUAUUGUAGAUGAGUUUACUGGCAGAGUUAUGGCGGGCAGGCGAUGGAGUGAUGGUCUCCAUCAAGCAAUUGAAGCAAAAGAAGGUGUACCUAUACAAAAUGAAACCAUAACUCUCGCAUCAAUAAGUUACCAAAACUUCUUUCUUCAGUUCCCCAAACUAUGUGGCAUGACUGGAACUGCAGCUACAGAGACCCAAGAGUUUGAGAGCAUAUAUAAACUUAAAGUUACUGUUGUCCCAACAAACAAGCCAAUGAUACGGAAGGAUGACUCAGAUGUUGUUUUCAGAGCAACAAAUGGAAAAUGGCGUGCUGUUCUUGUUGAGAUAUCAAGAAUGAAUAAAGUUGGCCGUCCUGUGCUUGUUGGUACCACCAGUGUUGAGCAAAGCGAAUCUUUAUCAAAGCAAUUGCGUGAAGCUGGGAUUCCUCACGAGGUCCUGAAUGCUAAGCCAGAGAAUGUUGAGAGGGAGGCAGAGAUCGUAGCUCAGAGUGGACGCCUUGGUGCUGUGACAAUUGCUACCAAUAUGGCGGGACGUGGAACUGAUAUUAUCCUUGGUGGCAAUGCAGAAUUCAUGGCCAGGUUGAAGUUGCGUGAGAUCCUUAUGCCAAGAGUCGUCAAUCCAAUAGAUGGUGUUAUUGUAUCCAAAAAGCAGAUGCCACCAAGAAAGACAUGGAAGACAAAUGAAAGCUUGUUCCCAUGUGAACUUUCAAAAGAAACAUUAUCGUCUGUCAAGGAUACAGUUGAAAUGGCUGUCAAAGAAUGGGGAGAUAAAUCAUUAACUGAACUGGAAGCAGAAGAGCGGCUGUCCUAUUCAUGUGAGAAGGGACCAACACGUGAUGAAGUAAUAGCGAAUUUGAGAAAUGCAUUUGUGAAGAUAGCAGACGAAUAUAAAGUUUACACUGAGGAGGAAAAGCAGAAGGUCAUUACAGUAGGUGGGCUUCACGUAGUAGGAACAGAGCGCCAUGAAUCACGCAGAAUUGACAAUCAGCUCCGUGGUCGAAGUGGAAGACAGGGGGAUCCUGGAAGCUCUCGCUUCUUUCUUAGUCUCGAGGAUAAUAUUUUCCGGAUCUUUGGAGGUGACAGGAUACAGGGUCUGAUGCAAGCAUUCCGAGUUGAAGAUCUUCCUAUCGAAUCGAAAAUGCUAACGAGGGCUCUAGAUGAAGCGCAGCGGAAAGUUGAGAAUUACUUUUUUGACAUCAGGAAGCAGUUGUUUGAGUAUGAUGAGGUAUUGAAUAGCCAGAGAGAUCGUGUAUAUGCGGAAAGAAGACGUGCUCUUGCAUCUGACAGUCUUCAAUCACUUAUUGUGGAAUAUGCUGAAUUGACAAUGGACGACAUAUUAGGGGUUGGUUAUGGCUAACAUAGGACCUGAUACUCCAAAGGAAAAUUGGGACCUGAACAAACUUAUAGCUAAGCUGCAACAGUAUUGCCAUCUGUUGGAUGACUUGACACCAGAAUUGUUGGAGGGCAAAAGCUCAAGCUACGACGAUUUGCGGGAGUACCUGCGUAAGCGAGGGCGUGAAGCUUACUUCCAGAAAACUGAAAUUGUGGAGAAGCAAGCUCCUGGAUUGAUGAAGGAAGCUGAGCGGUUUCUAAUUCUCAGCAAUAUUGAUAGGCUGUGGAAAGAGCAUCUGCAGGCACUAAAGUUUGUCCAACAAGCUGUUGGUUUAAGGGGUUAUGCCCAACGAGAUCCCCUUAUUGAGUAUAAACUUGAGGGAUAUAAUCUUUUCUUAGACAUGAUGGCUCAAAUCAGGAGGAAUGUUAUUUAUUCUGUAUAUCAGUUCAAACCAGUAGUGAAGAACCAAGAAGGGGAAGCAUCCCAAAAGGUGUCAAAAAAGAAACUGGACAAAGGAGCUAACAAACUUGGUGCUGCCCAAGCUGCGUCAUGAUCUUCCUGUGAGAAACGUUGCUGGUGCUUUUAGUUGCAGUGGCUGCAGUCUCCACGUGUACAAAGAUGGUCUAUACUCGAUACCGUAUGAGAAAUGUACUUCAUGCAUGUUUUUGCAGGAUUAGCAUGAACAGGCACGCAGAAUUCCGAAUGUACUAGUAGAAGAUAUUUGCUGGUAGCAGUGCCAACUGACUAGAAUGAUAAUACAGAGGAACUCCAUUGCAUGGAUCAAAUGCUAAACAACAGCUGUUGAAUCACUCAAUUGUCUUACUGGAACACGCCAUUACCAUUUAUUUUCGCGUGUUGUGUUCAUUUGAUGGCUGUAUCCAAUUGCAUUCCCAAAAUCAAAUACGAUGUACACUUCGUUGAGAGAGCGAAUGUUCUUCCCUAUGCAUAAAAUAAUAAAAAAACGUGGAUCCUCUCA